UACGUAGGGGGCGAGCGCUGUCCGGAAUUACUGGGCGUAAAGGGUGCGUAGGCGGCAUGUUAAGUUGGAUGUGAAAUACCCGGGCUUAACCUGGGGGGUGCAUUCAAAACUGGCAGGCUAGAGUGCAGGAGAGGGAAGCGGAAUUCCUAGUGUAGCGGUGAAAUGCGUAGAUAUUAGGAGGAACACCAGUGGCGAAGGCGGCUUUCUGGACUGUAACUGACGCUGAUGCACGAAAGCGUGGGGAGCAAACAGGAUUAGAUACCCUGGUAGUCCACGCUGUAAACGAUGAAUACUAGGUGUAGGGGGUAUGAACUCCCCCUGUGCCGCAGCUAACGCAAUAAGUAUUCCGCCUGGGGAGUACGGCCGCAAGGUUGAA
rnacentral:rRNA from 1 species